CUUUUAUACACACAUACUCCCUUCGUCCCAAAAACGUCUCAUAUGAAAUUUUUUUUAUAAUUAUUAUUUUCAUUGUUAUUAGAUGAUAAAACAUAAUUAAUAUUUUAUGCGUGACUUGUAUUUUUAAUUUUUUUCAUAAUUUUUUUAAAUAAGACCGACAGUCAAACGUUGGACAUAGAAACCCAGGGUUUGUCUUUUU
rnacentral:pre_miRNA from 1 species